CACCUGAUUUUGCACAAUGCUGCAUAUGGAGGUGCUUUUUGGCCAGGGUGCAUGUGGUGCUAGCUAAUCUCUAGCCAUCCAAAAACUACAUUGCGGUCCACUAGAUGGACUGGGAAAUUGCUAGGUUUGGCCGAGUAUGGACUGAGGGGUCUCUCUUGCAGGUAUGUUGUGGUUUCUUUAAAGCUUCUCUAUGUUUUCACAAUGUAAAAUUCUGCUUAUGAUUGUAUGAGAUGGGAGCUUGUUCUAUAGAUUUAUAAUAGAUGCUGUAUUAUCUUUCAAAAGAAUGUGGUCCCGACCCAAUUGAGGAAGUUAUGCCCAAAGUGUAGUUAGCAUAGUGUCCCAGUGGGAAUCAGAAGUUUAACUGGCAAUGGUAUCAUCUCUCCUUGAUAGGGGCAAUAGUAAUGGAUAGAUGAUUGAAAGGAGAAAUAAAGUCAACCAUAUAGGAUACUGAAUCUGCUAAGGCAUCUAGAAGACAGCUGAAAGAGACAAUCUACUCAGUGCUGUUUGAUAUGAAUGUUCUUGCUGUUUGUGCCAUCAAUCCGGCAUACACAAACAAGCUGUAGAACAAGUUUUCACGUUUGGAAGAAGAGAAUGAAAGGCUCAAGAUGUAGAAGGUCGGCAUUUCAUCUCUCCUUGGGAAUUUUUUUUUUUUUUUUUUUUUUUCUAAAUGGGAUUGCAGGACCAUGCAGGGUUGGUUGUAUCUAAGUUUUGGUCGGAUAUUGCCUGAGAAUUAGAUCGUGUUUGUUUUCCUUUCGGUUACAUAUUAAGGCAUCUUAUGUUAAAAAAGCUAGGAUUCAGUGGCCUUAUUGUUGUUUUUUGUUUGUUUUUCAUUAGUUUCUCAUAGCAAGUUGUGAUUUUGGUUCGUUUCCUUUUGCUCUUGAAAUGCUAGGAAUUUACUUAGCAUUUAGAAACUGCGGGCUGCUGCUUGUUUAUUUUUCUUUGUUAGAUAGACUUGGAUAGACUUGGUAGAAGAGAAGUAUCUUGUCCCAGCUUCUUAGGGUCUGCUUUAAGGAUCUUUUUUUUCUUGGUUGCAAAAAUUCCUAUCUAGGACCCUAUCUUGUGUGAGUGAAAAUGCCAUCUUGUCCAUUAUCACCACCUCUAUCAUGGUCCUGUUAGAGUAUCUAAGGUAAAUUAAUGGAAUCU